UUAGACGGAAAGCUAGCUUCCGAUGGAUUU
rnacentral:piRNA from 1 species